GCCAGUGUGGUGGAAUUGGUAGACACGACGGAUUCAAAAUCCGUUGCCUUCGGGUGUGGCGGUUCGAGUCCGCCUACUGGUACCA
rnacentral:tRNA from 19 species